rnacentral:piRNA from 1 species
UCAGAAGGAAUGUUCUGGAUACAGAAACUC